GAAGUGCUGCUCAGAAAGUGCGUGUGCCAUCGAUCGGAACAAGUGGGAAUCUGAAGGAGCAAUACAACCAAAUAGCAUCAAGAAACACAAUUUCCAUCACCCCUAGAGUUCUUUCGUGACCCCUUCAAGCCAGUCCUUCCCUCCUAGAAGCAUCCACUGAUCUGACUUCUAUCACCAUAGAGAGAAUGAAAAAUCUCCCCUGCACUGACAUCCAAGAGGCAACUGCAGUGAGAGGACACAGCGAGAUAGCCACUCUCCGUAGACCCACAGGGCGCAGCCCUGCUGCCAUCCUGCCACAGUACAAGCUUAGCCUGGAAAAGUACAGCUGGGCUGAAGAAGAGCUACGUUGGCUUUGUUUCCAGAGACUUGAAAUGAUCCCUGACCCGUCACACUCGUCUGACCAGUAACCAUCUCUCUCCCACAUGGUAACGAAAGAUGUUAGUGGAGUACAUGUUUAAGCCUCUUUGAAUGGAGUAAGUUUUCUCCAUUCAGAUGUCUGGUUUUUGGGUUGUGUGGUUUUCUUACCAUGUGAUGGAAGGAGACUUGAC